rnacentral:piRNA from 1 species
UAAUUCUGGGCAAGCAUCUAUCAUUUUUGA